UGGUUUACUGAGAUAUYUUAGGGCGGACGGGWGAGUAACACGUGAGCMACCUGCSUUUGAGAGAGGGAUAGSUUYUGGAAACGGAUGGUAAUACCUCAUAACAUAAMGAAGCCGCAUGACUUUGUUAUCAAAGAUUUAUCACUCAGAGAUGGGYUSGYGUYUGAUUAGAUAGUUGGUGAGGUAACGGCUCACCAAGUCGACGAUCAGUAGCCGGACUGAGAGGUUGAACGKCCWCAUUGGGAYUGAGACACGGCCCAGACUCCUACGGGAGGCAGCAGUGGGGAAUAUUGCACAAUGGGGGAAACCCUGAUGCAGCGAWGCCGCGUGGAGGAAGAAGGUUUUCGGAUUGUAAACUCCUUGUCUAAAGGACGAUAAUGACGGUAMCUUAGAGCRRUGGUSC
rnacentral:rRNA from 1 species